rnacentral:misc_RNA from 1 species
AACAUCGCGCACCUGCGGGAACCUGCGGAAGGAUCAUUACAGAGUUGCAAAACUCCCUAAACCAUUGUGAACGUUACCUAAACCGUUGCUUCGGCGGGCGGCCCGGGUCCUUCCCGGCGCCCCUCGGCCCUCGCGGGCGCCCGCCGGAGGUAAACCAAACUAUUGCAUUGUAUGGCCUCUCUGAGUCUUCUGUACUGAAUAAGUCAAAACUUUCAACAAUGGAUCUCAGAUCGGAAGAGC